GACGAACGCUGGCGGCGUGCUUAACACAUGCAAGCCGAACGGAAAGGCCCUGCUUUUGUGGGGUGCUCGAGUGGCGAACGGGUGAGUAACGCGUGAGUAACCUGCCCUUGACUUUGGGAUAACUUCAGGAAACUGGGGCUAAUACCGGAUAGGAGCUCCUGCUGCAUGGUGGGGGUUGGAAAGUUUCGGCGGUUGGGGAUGGACUCGCGGCUUAUCAGCUUGUUGGUGGGGUAGUGGCUUACCAAGGCUUUGACGGGUAGCCGGCCUGAGAGGGUGACCGGCCACAUUGGGACUGAGAUACGGCCCAGACUCCUACGGGAGGCAGCAGUGGGGAAUAUUGCACAAUGGGCGGAAGCCUGAUGCAGCAACGCCGCGUGCGGGAUGACGGCCUUCGGGUUGUAAACCGCUUUCGCCUGUGACGAAGCGUGAGUGACGGUAAUGGGUAAAGAAGCACCGGCUAACUACGUG
rnacentral:rRNA from 1 species